rnacentral:lncRNA from 1 species
CUGCUUGAGCAGCUCUCUGUUUUUGGCCUGCAACUGCUCCACAGUUUCCUUGUGAGCUUUCUCCAUGCUGUUCAUCUUUGUCCUCAAGUUCGACUCCUGAUACUGGAAGUCUGCUUUCAGUUCUGUCAACUUUUUAUCUUUCUCUAGGAUGGUCUGAUCUCUUUGCUGUAGAAGGCGUUUAAGUGACAUGACUUCUUCUUUCAGCUGGCUUAUGAGGACAAAGUUGUCUGUUCCCCCACUGUCUGCUGACUGAUUUAUAGAGCUACUCUGUUUCCAUAGGCCCUGAUCUUGCUCUGGACUCAGACUGCUGAUUUUAUGGUGACUACUGCUGUGACGGUGGUGGUGGUGGUGAUGGUGGUGGUGUUUCGAAUGGUGCUGGUCUUUCUCAGUAAGAGAUGAAGAUGAGGAGUUCGAAUGUGAAGAUCCCAGACUCUUCCUCUGUUCUUUUGUCUUCUGUAGCACUCGCUUGUAGGACAGGGUGCAGAGCCAACACAGCAACUUUCCGUCGACCUUCCUCCUUCCCUCCUCUUUUCGAUCAAAAGCACACUGCUGUUUGCACUGCUCACAUGUUUGAGGUGGGCCAUACUUCUUUUCUGAGUUGGUGCAGCGCUGACAUUUCGUGCCAAUAAAUGCUGCAAUAAUAUUACAGUACUGACAAGGCUUGGGCGUUCCGAACUGCUUCACGUUCUGGGCGCACUUCUUGCAGAUGGUGUUCGUUUUGCUCUCCUGCUGGAACUCCGAGCGGCAGUACGUGCACUUGACGAUGGGAUGGGCGAUGCGGCACUCCUUGCACAGCUGCUGCCCCUGCGAGAGCUCCUCGAACGGGUACCGCUGGUUGCACUUGGUGCAGGCGUACAGAGCCGGGGCUGCCGCCGCCGCCAUCCGCGCCGCUGCCGGCGGGGCGGUCGCGGGCGGGCCCGAGGGAGGGGAUGAGGGAGGUGCGGGGCGAGGCCCGAGCCGAGGAGCCGCCCGCGCCCCCCCUUCCCCUCCCGCCUCCGUGCCCGGGAGCGCCCCCGCCGCCCCGCGCCGCCCUAGGCCCCGCGCGCCGCCGCCGCGCCGCACCGCC